rnacentral:lncRNA from 1 species
UUUUCCCAUUCUAAUCAACUUUCUCAUCAAUUUCCAUCAAGUUGAUCUCAGAUCUAUACCAUUUUCCAAAAACACAGUAAAAUAUAUAUGUUUCUGCAGUUCAAUUUCUUGGCUUAUUAUUAUGAAGUUGAUACGGUUUGAUGCGCUUCUUCUUCUUCUUCAGCUUCUCUUUAGCAAGGCAGCAUCAGAGUUCAAUAUAGAGACUCUUCCGGGUUAUUCGGGUACUCUGCCUGUCAAACUCGAAACAGGGUGGGUUUCUUUCAUUCUUUAACAACUUCCUUUUGACUUUUAAUUCCAGAAACUGAAUAAUUUUUUUUUAUAAAUUUGGAUGAUUAGAUAUAUUGAUGUGGGAGAAACUGAAGAAGUGCAACUAUUCUACUACUUCGUCGAGUCCGAAAGCAAUCCUAAAACGGACCCUAUUCUGCUUUGGCUCACGGGUGGACCUGGUUGCUCUGCUCUCUCCGGCCUCUUUUAUGAAAUCGGUACUCUCUCUAUAUGUGUGUGUAUUAUUAUUUUCUUUCAGCAAAUGGGACUUAUACAUACUCAGGGAAUUGCACCCUUCCUAUGCAUAAACGAGAGAGAUGUGUGUGUGCAGUAUGCAAAUGAUGAGUAGCAACCAGCAAAAUAUGGAAAGUGAUUCGCACCAUUCAAAUUGAACACACGAAAGAUCUGCAAGUGCUCGGUAUCGUAGAUAAGUAAUAUAAUGAUAAGUAGAGUAUCAUCUCACGAAAAUUAUGUAUUUAAUCUAGUAUCAAUUAAUGCUUAAUCUAAUCGAAUUGUUGAGUUUGUAUGGUGAAUUUAUACUAAUUAAUUAAUUAAAUUACUUCAAUGAGCAACUUAUGAAAGCUUUUUGUAAAAAUUAGGUUAAGCACUUGCUACGACUUUAAAUUUUCCUUAUUAAUCCAAUUUAAUGCAAUUCAAUAUCAUGACAAUGUUUAAUCAUUCUUUUUUUUUUUUUUUUAUAUAUCAAUGUUCCUAGAUUAUUUAAUAAUUUCUCUCCCGUAGAAAAUCUAUUCUUUCUUGUGACCCUUAUAAAUCUUUCUAUGAAAGGCAAACAUAAAAGCAAGUGCUCAAACUUUAGAACAUCUAUUGAACUCUGCGACGCACUCGAUCAUACUUCACAAAAUCUACUAUAACGUGCUAUAUAUAUUAUUAUUUCUCUUGAAUAUAACAAAAUUCACACAUCAAUCCAAUUAUUAAUCAGGUAAUUCAAAGGCAUUAAACCCUAUAACAAUCUCCUAAGAAUAACAAAUAUUAGGUGUCAAAAUAUUGAAAUUUUAUUAAAAUUUCAUAACAAAGGUUCAUUUAUAUCUUAGCAACUAAUAAUCUAGCAUAGCAUUACUAAGUUGCAUUAAAUCAUAAUUAAUUUGGAGAACACCAUUCGGAUUCUCGAUAGAUGAAGAAAAGGAGGAAUCACGAAAUCUUUAAUAUCUUCACUGGUUUUUUAAUUAAUGUCCAACUUUAUAUUCUUUUUCAUUGCCAAAAAUCAAUGUUAAAUCUUCAAAUGAUUGAAUUCUCGUAUAUUGCCUCUUGAAUUCUCCCAAAAGAACAAUUAAUUGGCCUCUCUUUGUUGCAAGAUUAUGCGUAUGAUAUGAUAUGAGAGAAGUCCUUCCAAUGUUUGAUGGUGUUGUGUAUUUAUAACGGUCGAAUUUAUGUCAAAAUCCAAGUUUUGAAAUUGACUUCCAAAAUGUGGUUUGACUCAAAAUAGGAAACAGCUCCCAUCUGUCAGAAUUUGGGUCGUGCAGUUCGUGCCCUAUAGUCUUUAGGAAUGUUCAGUUUGGCCCUCAUCUUUGGUCCUUUGUUUAUUAUGAGUCUGUUCUUCUUGUAAUUUCAAUCCUUCAUCUUCUAUAUUCACUCAAUUGAAUCCAUGCAAUCUUCAAUCACUUUUCUUGAUCGAAAUCAACUUUUUAAUAUUUGUAAUUGAGUCCAUGAACUUUGAAAUUCUUCCUUUUUCACCCUUCUUUUUCCAAUUUCUACUUCUUUUGCUCAAAACCAAUCCAAACUUGAGUAUGUUUUGCAACAAUCGAUAUUUAAACAAAUUAAAUAGCAAUUAACUCAAAAAGAUGAUAAAUAUGAUAGCUAGAUAGGUGUAUAAAAAGUGGGUUAUGUUAUAUGUAGAUUAUGGUGUCCAUAAGGGUAUCCAUAAUGUACAAACGGUUUAAUAUCAAUUGAGGGUUGAAAAAUAAUUUUUUUGACCCUCCAAUCAUGGAAUUCCACAUGCAUAUUAUAGAUACUAUAAUGUACAUGUAGAAUUACACUAUCACAAAUGACAUAGACAACAAAUUCAAAAUAUUAAAAAGGGUGGAUUUUUAUUUAUUUAUUUUUACUUGGUUGUGUUGGAAUGAUUGCCCCAAAUUUCUAACUCAAAAUUUUUUACAAUAAUUUACAAAUGAAGAGCAAACUAGUUCCUAUAUCCUGUGUGAGUUCGCUAAUUUAGUGAUUUUUAAUGGUGAUUUAAGUUUCAACUAGUUUUGUUUAGAAUGAAUUUCCAUUCUAAGAGUAUAUUUCCAAGUAGCUGGCCAUAGAAUUCGACAUGGUAAACUUUACGGCUUAAAAAUCCACUAAAAAAAUCAUUGCCCUUUCCAAAUUUUCACUGCAUCUCUCCAGAAAAAAAAAAUCCAAUUCUAAAAAUUGUUAAAUAUAAUCAGCAAGAAUGAAAGAAUAUUAUAUUUUGAUUACCCCAUUAACCUAUAUUUGAAAUAUAACUUUCAUGAUGUUCAUGUCAAUUUUGUGUGCUUUUGUGUAGGUCCAUUAGCCUUCGAUGUUGCAGAUUUUGAUGGAAGCUUACCAUCUAUUCACCAAAAUCCAUAUUCAUGGACCAAGGUCAUAAACAUAUCUCACUCCAUGAAUAAAGACAUGUACGUAUCUCAUCUAUAGCUCUCUAAGUUUAGCACUGCAGUAAUUUAGCCUUAUGAUUUGCAGGUUGCCAACAUUAUAUUUAUUGAUUGGCCUGUUGGCACUGGAUUUUCCUAUGCAAACACAUCGAAAGGUUACUCUUCUUCAGACACCAAAUCAGCAAAAGACAACUAUACGUUUCUUAGAAAG